rnacentral:rRNA from 1 species
GCCAUGCCGCGUGUGUGAAGAAGGCCUUUUGGUUGUAAAGCACUUUACGCAGUGAAGAAGACUCUUCGGUUAAUACCCGGAGACGAUGACAUUAGCUGCAGAAUAAGCACCGGCUAACUCUGUGCCAGCAGCCGCGGUAAUACAGAGGGUGCAAGCGUUAAUCGGAAUUACUGGGCGUAAAGCGAGCGUAGGUGGCUUGAUAAGUCAGAUGUGAAAUCCCCGGGCUUAACCUGGGAACUGCAUCUGAAACUGUUAGGCUAGAGUAGGUGAGAGGGAAGUAGAAUUUCAGGUGUAGCGGUGAAAUGCGUAGAGAUCUGAAGGAAUACCGAUGGCGAAGGCAGCUUCCUGGCAUCAUACUGACACUGAGGCUCGAAAGCGUGGGUAGCAAACAGGAUUAGAUACCCUGGUAGUCCACGCCGUAAACGAUGUCUACUAGUCGUUGGGUCCCUCGAGGACUUAGUGACGCAGCUAACGCAAUAAGUAGACCGCCUGGGGAGUACGGCCGCAAGGUUAAAACUCAAAUGAAUUGACGGGGGCCCGCACAAGCGGUGGAGCAUGUGGUUUAGUUCGAUGCAACGCGAAGAACCUUACCUGGUCUUGACAUAUCUAGAAUCCUGCAGAGAUGCGGGAGUGCCUUCGGGAAUUAGAAUACAGGUGCUGCAUGGCUGUCGUCAGCUCGUGUCGUGAGAUGUUGGGUUAAGUCCCGCAACGAGCGCAACCCUUGUCCUUAGUUACCAGCGGGUUAAGCCGGGAACUCUAAGGAUACUGCCAGUGACAAACUGGAGGAAGGCGGGGACGACGUCRAGUCAUCAUGGCCCUUACGACCAGGGCUACACACGUGCUACAAUGGUAGGUACAGAGGGCAGCUACACAGCGAUGUGAUGCGAAUCUCAAAAAGCCUAUCGUAGUCCAGAUUGGAGUCUGCAACUCGACUCCAUGAAGUAGGAAUCGCUAGUAAUCGCGGAUCA